CUGCUUUGCUUUAUCUUGGUCAGGUCGCAGUUGUAAAUGAGAACUUGUUCUCAACUAGCCUACCUGGUCAAAUAAAGGUGAAAUAAAUAAAAUAAAAUAGUUUUUAGCAGUACUGCUAAUAAGCUCUAGGGGUCAGUAAUGGAUCCCAAUGUGUUUAUGAUGGAUAUCGUUAGGUAGGACUUUAAUAGGAAUUCAGCAUUAUCAUUGAAAACAUAUUUCAUUGUUGACUUACAUUCGAAUGGAAUGUAUCUCUUUGGUUAAAAAAAAAAGCAUAAGAAAUGGUCAGGGACAAACCCUUCACUGUACAUACCGUUUGAGCUAGACAUGACGAUGACCGUUUUUGAAGUUGCUCGCCAUAAAAUAAAAUAAAAUCGGGAUUUGUAGUCCUUGAAGUACAGAUCAUCCUGUCUGACCUGCGGUAGCCUCUGUAGCUCAGAACUACAGACGAAUAAUUGGCUGAUUAGCCGGCGUACACGCCAGACAAGGAAAAGGCCCUAUAAAUAGUCUUCCCUUCCCUUGUUCGUUCUUUCACUGAGUCAAGACGUCUGUCGGAAGCAUUAUGGCUAUCAUUAUAAAGCUAGGUUAUAUUUGGCAGCCGGACAGAAAAUACAAUACAUCCGUCAUAAAAUGAUAAGCUACCUUUGGGGUUCUGUAAUGAGUGAUGGUCGUUCUACAGAGGCGGCUGUAGGAAGUCCAUGAUGAGGUUGUCGUCCGUCGGGUGCCCCGUGCUGCAGUUUGGUGUCAGUCUGACCAUGUGACCUGCAGUGAACCGCCCUCCACCCCAUCCCUCGGGCUCUCAAUGCUUCAGUGUGUUUGGUCAAUCUGAGACCAUGUGUCCUGCAGUGAUCCACCAUCCCUCUGCACUCUGGUUCCAUGGACGGGAGGGGCUUCCCACCAUACUCCCAACAUGUUAAAGGAAGGUUACUGCCCACAGCUGGUGUUAUCCAGUAUAUGCGCUAUGUAUCAAACUAAGCAUUGUAUGUGGGCCAAAUCAUUAGCUAAAUCUUGUAAUGAAUGUGGAGAUUAGCCAAGUUCAAUAGAAGAUACUGUUUGUUAUAACCCUGGAUUGUACACUGAAAUAAUACAUUUAAUGAUUCACCGGUAGCUGGGGGGUGUGAGGUCUGUCUGAUAACGCUGCUCUGGUUUCUAUAUAAUCAUUUCGUACAGGCCCUAGUUUUAGCACGCCUGGGCUGCAGUCCAAACACUUAAGACGCACCCUGUCCCUUCAGCCCUCAUUAAGAUUUGCACGUGGGACAAUUCAUUUAACCUUACAUGAUGUCAAUGUUGUGACAAAUUCUUGGUGUCCCUAGAUUGUUAAACUGAAAUGGUGUAAACGUAUUGCUGUAACGGUAGCUAAGAUGGGGAGGUCUGUCACUGGUAAACGCGCUGCUUUUCGAUCCACAAAACAAAUACUACAGGCUCUAGUUUUAUCACACCUGGACUACUGCACAGUUUUAUGUUAAAAGUGCCACAAAGGACAGAAAUUAAUUUGCACAGAAUGGGGUACUACUGCUGGCUCUUAAAGGGAUACUUCAGUGGUUUAUUAUGUUUUUUAUGAUGCCUUUUAUUUACUUCCCCAGAGUCUGACCUCAUGGCUAUCAGUUUGGUCUGCGUCCAGUUUGAAAGAAGUAGCCAGCUAUUGCUAAAUAGCGUUAGCAAAAUGAAGUAAAUGGGAAGUAGACAAUAGAGCCUCGUUGUCAAAAGCCUAAAGUAUCCAUUAAAAUGUACUAGUCACCCCCCCCCCCCCCCCUCUGCUUGCCCUACCUAUAAACUCCCGAGUGGCGCACCUGUCUAAGGCGCUGCAUCUCAGUGCUGGAGACCUCACUACAGAUGCCCUGGUUUGAAUCCAGGCUCUAUCACAACCGUCCAUGAUCGGAAAUCCCUUAGGGCGCCGUCCGGGUUUGGCCUGUGUAGCCUGUCAUUGUAAAUAAGAAUUUGUUCUUAACGGACUUGCCUACUACAUUUAAAAAAAUGUAUUUAGAUGUACAGCUGAUGUCGGCAACAUUAUGUUUAAUCUCCAGUGUGGCAGUUUAAAUAUUUUUAUGAUGUCAAUAAAGUUUUAUAACGUG